GAUGGAAGCUUGCUUCCAGGCGUCGAGUGGCGAACGGGUGAGUAAUGCUUGGGAAUCUGCCCAAUAGUGGGGAACAACUCGGGGAAACUCGGGCUAAUACCGCAUAAUCUCUUCAGAGGAAAGAGGGCCUCUACAUGUAAGCUCUCGCUAAUGGAUGAGCCCAAGUCAGAUUAGCUUGUUGGUAAGGUAACGGCUUACCAAGGCUACGAUCUGUAGCUGGUCUGAGAGGAUGAUCAGCCACACUGGGACUGAGACACGGCCCAGACUCCUACGGGAGGCAGCAGUGGGGAAUAUUGCACAAUGGGCGAAAGCCUGAUGCAGCAAUGCCGCGUGUGAAGAAGGCUCUAGGGUUGUAAAGCACUUUCAAUAAGGAAGAAAAGCAUAAAGUUAAUAACUUUAUGCAUUGACUUAACUUAUACAAGAAGCACCGGCUAAUUCCGUGCCAGCAGCCGCGGUAAUACGGAAGGUGCAAGCGUUAAUCGGAAUUACUGGGCGUAAAGCGCGCGUAGGCUGUUAUCUAAGUCGAAUGUGAAAUCCUCGGGCUCAACCUGGGAACUGCAUCCGAAACUGGAUAACUAGAGUAUGGGAGAGGUAAGUAGAAUUUCCGGUGUAGCGGUGAAACGCGUAGAUAUCGGAAGGAAUACCAGUGGCGAAGGCGGCUUACUGGACCAAUACUGACGCUAAGGUGCGAAAGCGUGGGGAGCGAACAGGAUUAGAUACCCUGGUAGUCCACGCCGUAAACGAUGAGAACUAGAUGUUGGGAGGGUUAGCCUCUCAGUGUCGCAGCUAACGCAUUAAGUUCUCCGC
rnacentral:rRNA from 1 species